rnacentral:rRNA from 1 species
UACGAAGGGGGCUAGCGUUGUUCGGAAUUAGUCGUGGGCUUAAAGCGUGUGUAGGUGGAUUUGUAAGUACCUUGUGAAAAUCCCAUGGCUCAACCAUGGAACUGCUCGGUAUACUGCGAAUCUUGAGCACUUAGGGGCUACCGGAACAAAUGGUGGAGCGGUGAAAUGCGCAGAUAUCAGGAGGAACACCAGUAGCGAAGGCGGCACUCUGGGCCGUGACUGACGCUGAGGAGCGAAAGCGUAGGGUAGCAAACAGG